UACGUAGGGUGCAAGCGUUAAUCGGAAUUACUGGGCGUAAAGCGUGCGCAGGCGGUUAUGCAAGACAGAUGUGAAAUCCCCGGGCUCAACCUGGGAACUGCAUUUGUGACUGCAUGGCUCGAGUACGGUAGAGGGGGAUGGAAUUCCGCGUGUAGCAGUGAAAUGCGUAGAUAUGCGGAGGAACACCGAUGGCGAAGGCAAUCCCCUGGACCUGUACUGACGCUCAUGCACGAAAGCGUGGGGAGCAAACAGG
rnacentral:rRNA from 1 species